UACGAAGUGGGCGAGCGUUGUUCGGAAUUACUGGGCGUAAAGGGCGCGCAGGCGGCCUUAGAAGUCAGAUGUGAAAGCCCCGGGCUCAACCUGGGAAUGGCAUUUGAUACUCUGAGGCUGGAGUACGGGAGAGGAGAGUGGAAUUCCCAGUGUAGAGGUGAAAUUCGUAGAUAUUGGGAAGAACACCGGUGGCGAAGGCGGCUCUCUGGACCGUAACUGACGCUGAGGCGCGAAAGCGUGGGGAGCAAACAGG
rnacentral:rRNA from 1 species